rnacentral:tRNA from 1 species
GAAGUUAUACUUUAAAAUAGAAGACCUAACUUGCACUUAGAUAGAGGAUUAAACCUAACUUCA